GCAGAAAAAGUCCUACCUGGAGCGGAGUGUUAAGGAAGCUGAGGACAACAUCCGGGAGAUGCUGAUGGCGCGAAGGGCACAGUAGGAGCCUCUAGGGGGAAGCUUUUCCUCUUGACACCUCCCCUCCUGGCAAGGGUGGAGGGGCCUUUGCAGGGUGAGCCAUGAACUCCCAGGAGAGGGAAGAUGGGAGCCAGGGCAGAUAGGGAAGCACUGCCUGUUCCUACCACUUGGCAAGCUGGUCAGACCAAUAAAAAGCUUCUGUCCUA